UGGGGAAUUUUGGACAAUGGACGCAAGUCUGAUCCAGCCAUGCCGCGUGCGGGAAGAAGGCCUUCGGGUUGUAAACCGCUUUUGUCAGGGAAGAAACGAGUUUCUCUAAUACAGAGACUUAAUGACGGUACCUGAAGAAUAAGCACCGGCUAACUACGUGCCAGCAGCCGCGGUAAUACGUAGGGUGCGGGCGUUAAUCGGAAUUACUGGGCGUAAAGCGUGCGCAGGCGGUUAUGUAAGACAGAUGUGAGAUCCCCGGGCUCAACCUGGGACCUGCAUUUGUGACUGUAUAGCUAGAGUACGGUAGAGGGGGAUGGAAUUCCGCGUGUAGCAGUGAAAUGCGUAGAUAUGCGGAGGAACACCGAUGGCGAAGGCAAUCCCCUGGACCUGUACUGACGCUCAUGCACGAAAGCGUGGGGAGCAAACA
rnacentral:rRNA from 1 species